CUAUAUGCGCCGUUGUUGUCACUGUCGUCGUCUUCGUCGUUUUUGCCGUCGAUUGCCGUCACCGUUUGUUGGAGUUUAAAGAUCGUACUCGUAAAGUUAUUCUCGUGUACGGUCCAUAUUUAACCAUCUAUUGCAAGUGUCACCCACUCUUUUCCCUGGUGCUACUGCUGCCUCGAACGUGUGAUCAACGACGUUGACUCAGGGAACGGUGAAACAGGUGAUUGUGGAUAAAAUAAGAUGUUGUACAUUUACCACGGACGCGGAAACGGUGAGGCACUACCAGUAGUGUGAUCGUUGUUUGGAUGGCGUGCGCAUCAAUUAGGGGAGAAUCGAAACGAAUUAAAGCACUUUGUGAGGUUUUUCUGAAAUGGUGAUUACUAUUGAAGAGGUGUGAAUUAGCAAUUGCAGCUGAGUUUCGCAUCGAUUGAUUGAGGAAAAUACUGCCCCUUUUAAUCGAGUCGUAGAUAACGUCGGCGUGAAUAAGAGUGCAUCAUCAAGUUUGGUGCUUGGUAACGCAUUUUGUGUGGUUUUGAAAGUGCUGGGUUCAAAAUGCUACGACCCUUGCCAAGGCAGAAGAUGAUAAUAAUGUGGUUGAAACUGCUGAGCUGAUCAAGUGGUUCAAGUUCAACGUUCUAGCGGCUGGCAGUAAGAAGCUAGUCGGGCUUAAGUUGGUUGGCGAGAAAAUUUUACGAAAUUUUUCAAAUGAUACCAAAGUGUGAUGGGAAAGCCAAGUGCGAAACCUUGAAGAUGGUGCAAAUGUUUGUGUAUGGUCGAUGAUUGUGCUUUGGGCGACAUGCCUGAAAGCAAAGGAAAAAGGUGAAUUUCUUGCCCUGUGACGACAAUUCAGCGCAAGGUUUUGAGUGAAAUAGUGGGAAAUUGCUAGUGAAAUGCCACUUAGCCGACGCCGCCGAUGCUGACUCUUGGAAGUGAAAAGAUGAUAGCAGCAGAGCACAGCCAGAGAAGAGGAAAGCGAAGCGAAAAUAUUCUUGAUGCCCCGGGAAAAAUAGUAGUACAUAAUGCUCGAAGCCGGAAGCGGAAUCUUUGGUGAAAACAAAGCUGUCAACUGCCAGCUAGCCGAGGAAACGGCUAAUUUGUGCUAGCCAUCUCGCGUUCAGUAUCCGCGUCGUUGAUCGUUAUUGUUGUUAAGUAUUUCCUAUUGUCGUAUGAUUGCAACGCUGCAGUUUGACAUGUGCUGAAAAUUGUGCAACACUUGUGUGGAAAAGUGAAAAGUGUUCCCUCUAGUGAAAGAAAGAAAGGCAGCCAGAAAAUAAAAGAUAUAAAAAUAUAUCGCUAAACCGCCCAGCUAGCCCAGCCAGCAUUAGAGAGAAGGUCCUGUCCUAGGGCCACGCCACCGUUGCAUUCCCCGGUCAUCAUAAUGUUGGCUCGAAAUGAUUACUGGCUGUCGUUUCGAGAUGGGCGGUCCCCCUGUAUCAUCACCAUCCGGUGUCAUCGCAGAAAUCAAGAGGGGGCGGUGCACUAGUAGCAGCAGAAGUGGAAGCAGUGAUUACGUAUCAUCAACGCAAGAGCCAUAAAUAAAAAGGAAGGAAGGAAAAUCAAGUGUGUGUCUAGUGUUGCAAAAAGUUUUCCAAUAUAAGUAUAAGUGAAGUUUGAUAGCUGAAGGAAAAAAAACGACACAGAGAGCGAAGAAAACAGCAAAAUAAUAGCAUUAUAAGCGGCUUGUGUGCACUCGAUGGAUUAUCCAAAUGGCUUACAUUUCGACGCAACAGGGUGUUAUUUCGCAGGGCUUAAGAUCGAUAAUUCCUCAAACUUCUUCCGACUCCAACCACGACAGGU